rnacentral:rRNA from 1 species
GAUGAACGCUGGCGGCGUGCCUAAUACAUGCAAGUCGAGCGAACAGACGAGGAGCUUGCUCCUCUGACGUUAGCGGCGGACGGGUGGGUAACACGUGGAUAACCUACCUAUAAGACUGGGAUAACUUCGGGAAACCGGAGCUAAUACCGGAUAAUAUAUUGAACCGCAUGGUUCAAUAGUGAAAGACGGUUUUGCUGUCACUUAUAGAUGGAUCCGCGCCGCAUUAGCUAGUUGGUAAGGUAGCGGCUUACCAAGGCAACGAUGCGUAGCCGACCUGAGAGGGUGAUCGGCCACACUGGAACUGAGACACGGUCCAGACUCCUACGGGAGGCAGCAGUAGGGAAUCUUCCGCAAUGGGCGAAAGCCUGACGGAGCAACGCCGCGUGAGUGAUGAAGGUCUUCGGAUCGUAAAACUCUGUUAUUAGGGAAGAACAAAUGUGUAAGUAACUAUGCACGUCUUGACGGUACCUAAUCAGAAAGCCACGGCUAACUACGUG